CCUACGGGAGGCUGCAGUAGGGAAUCUUCCACAAUGGGCGAAAGCCUGAUGGAGCAACGCCGCGUGGGUGAAGAAGGUCUUCGGAUCGUAAAACCCUGUUGUUAGAGAAGAAAGUGCGUGAGAGUAAAUGUUCACGUUUCGAAGGUAUCUAACCAGAAAGCCACGGCUAACUACGUGCCAGCAGCCGCGGUAAUCCGUAGGUUGCAAGCGUUAUCCGGGUUUAUUGGGCGUAAAGGGAACGCAAGCGGUCUUUUAAGUCUGAUGGGAACGCCUUCGGCUUAACCGGAGUAGUGCAUUGGAAACUGGGAGACUUGAGGUCAGAAGAGGAGAGUGGAACGCCAUGUGUAGCGGUGAAAUGCGUAGAUAUAUGGAAGAACACCAGUGGCGAAAGCGGCGCUCUGGUCUGUAACUGACGCUGAGGUUCGAAAGCGUGGGUAGCAAACAGGAUUAGAUACCCGGGUAGUC
rnacentral:rRNA from 1 species